rnacentral:lncRNA from 1 species
AUAUUAGCGACUUUAAGAUAACCGACUACGGACUACAGACUACGGACGGGAACAGGUUGGAGAACUGGGUCGAGUCACUAAACUGCUUUUUUCCCACCGUAGUCACGUUGCGACGGUGAAUAUCAGGGCUGUUUUUCGUAGUGUCGACUACGGUAAAGGUUUUCCUCAAAUUUUUAGCUGGUAAGUUUAGAAUUAAAUACUUUUAAUAGAAAUACGGCAUUGUAGACGUUUCAUGACUCUUAUAAGCCUUUGUAGAUUGAAGAUUGUGACGAAUUUUGCCUCCCAAUAUUUGAAUAUGCAUGCGUGCAAAACGGCACGCAUAAAUCAUGGCAUGAAAUAUAAUUCACGUGUCUGUGUUUAUUGUAAAACGAAGAAUGUCCUGGUGAAUCCAAAUGUUUAGCUGUUUAUAUUAUUUUAGAGAAAAGCUGGAUUUAAUACAGUAAAAUGGGAGAUAAAUCCUCGGAUAAAUCUUGUUCUGAAUUAGUAAA